GAGUGCAUAAAAUGGCGCACGGGUGAGGAACACGUAAGUAAUCUACCCGCGAGUGGGGAAUAACAUCGGGAAACCGAUGCUAAUACCGCAUAAUGAAGCGGCACCGCAAGGUGACAGUUGUUAAAGAUAUUAUUUUUUGAGGAGGACCUUGCGGCAGAUUAGCUUGUUGGUAAGGUGACGGCUUACCAAGGCUACGAUCCUGUAUCCGGUCUAAGAGGACGGGCGGACACACUGACACUGAAAAACGGGUCAGACUCCUACGGGAGGCAGCAGUUGGGAAUUUUGGGCAUUGGGGGAAACCCUGACCCAGCAACGCCGCGUGAAGGAUGAAGUACUUAGGUAUGUAAACUUCGAAAGACUAGGAAAAAUUAAAGACAGUACUAUUUAUAAAGUCCGGCUAACUACGUGCGAGCAGCGCGGUAAUUCGUAGGGACCAAGCGUUGUUCGGGUUACUGGGCGUAAAGGGCGCGUAUGCGGCGCGGUGGUCAUUGUGAAAUCUCAGAGCUUAACUCAGAACGGCCAAGUGAUACUGCAGUGCUAGAGUGUGGAAGGGGCAAUCGGAAUUCCUGGUGUAGCGGUGAAAUGCUUAGAUAUCAAGAGGAACACCUAGGUGAAGACGGGUUGCUGGGCCCACACUGACGCUGAGGCGCGAACCCCAGGGGAGCCAACCGGAUCAGAUACCCCGGCAGUCCUGGCC
rnacentral:rRNA from 1 species